AUGCACGCUGGCGGCGUGCCUAAUACAUGCCAGUCGAGCGCACAGACGAGGAGCUUGCUCCUCUGACGUUAGCGGCGGACGGGUGAGUAACACGUGGAUAACCUACCUAUAAGACUGGGAUAACUUCGGGAAACCGGAGCUAAUACCGGAUAAUAUAUUGAACCGCAUGGUUCAAUAGUGAAAGACGGUUUUGCUGUCACUUAUAGAUGGAUCCGCGCCGCAUUAGCUAGUUGGUAAGGUAACGGCUUACCAAGGCAACGAUGCGUAGCCGACCUGAGAGGGUGAUCGGCCACACUGGAACUGAGACACGGUCCAGACUCCUACGGGAGGCAGCAGUAGGGAAUCUUCCGCAAUGGGCGAAAGCUUGACGGAGCAACGCCGCGUGAGUGAUGAAGGUCUUCGGAUCGUAAAACUCUGUUAUUAGGGAAGAACAAAUGUGUAAGUAACUAUGCACGUCUUGACGGUACCUAAUCAGAAAGCCACGGCUAACUACGUG
rnacentral:rRNA from 1 species